UACGAAGGGGCUAGCGUUGCUCGGAAUCACUGGGCGUAAAGCGCACGUAGGCGGGUCUCUAAGUCAGGGGUGAAAUCCUGGAGCUCAACUCCAGAACUGCCUUUGAUACUGGGGAUCUCGAGUCCGGGAGAGGUGAGUGGAACUCCGAGUGUAGAGGUGAAAUUCGUAGAUAUUCGGAAGAACACCAGUGGCGAAGGCGGCUCACUGGCCCGGUACUGACGCUAAGGUGCGAAAGCGUGGGGAGCAAACAGG
rnacentral:rRNA from 1 species